rnacentral:rRNA from 1 species
UACGUAGGGGGCAAGCGUUGUCCGGAUUUAUUGGGCGUAAAGAGCGUGUAGGCGGCCGUACAGGUCAGCUGUGAAAACUCGAGGCUCAACCUCGAGACGUCGGUUGAAACCGUACGGCUAGAGUCCGGAAGAGGAGAGUGGAAUUCCCGGUGUAGCAGUGAAAUGCGCAGAUAUCGGGAGGAACACCGGUGGCGAAGGCGGCGACCUGGGUCGAGACUGACGCUAAAGCGCGAAAGCGUGGGGAGCGAACAGG